CCUCUGGUCAGGCUGUGUCUCUUUCACCAACAGAAGUUGGUCUAAUAAAAGAUAUUACGUCAGCCACUUUAUCUCUCUAAUUUUCUGGGACCAACAGGGCAACAACAAUGCU